UACGUAGGUGGCAAGCGUUGUCCGGAUUUAUUGGGCGUAAAGAGCUCGUAGGCGGCUUGUCGCGUCGUCCGUGAAAACUUGGGGCUUAACUCCAAGCGUGCGGGCGAUACGGGCAGACUUGAGUACUACAGGGGAGACUGGAAUUCCUGGUGUAGCGGUGAAAUGCGCAGAUAUCAGGAGGAACACCGGUGGUGUAAACGGCUUUCUGGACCAUAACUGACACUGAGGCACGAAAGCGUGGGUAGCAAACAGG
rnacentral:rRNA from 1 species